rnacentral:lncRNA from 1 species
UCACAAUCUAAAUAAUUAUUACAAUCUAAGUAAACUGACACAUCAAGUCUAAACAGAAUAUUUAUAAAUGAUUGGAAUGAAUGGAGCUCUCAUCACACUUGCCCUUGAUUCCCCUGAUUACCUGCCGGAAGAAAAACACAACAUGAGUCAAAUGCCCAGUACGGAUAUAGAAUACAAAUAAUGAACCGAAAUAACUAAUUCAAUUAAAUAAAAUGAAACGAAACGAACUAAACUAACACAACGAAAUAGUAGGCUGAAUCAAAUGGUUGGAUGUUAUUUCAUACCGAGCUCAGAACAAAAUAGAAUAUACUUUCCCACACAGGCAAGUCAAAUAAUG